GAUGCGGGCUCCGGACUUUGACAAUCCCCCAGUGCGAUCCCAGGUCAGGCGGGGCUACCCGCUGAGUUUAAGCAUAUCAAUAAGCGGAGGAAAAGAAACUAACGAGGAU
rnacentral:rRNA from 1 species